GCGCACAAGAAGUAUCGGUAUGAGCUGCUGAAGCUAGCUCACGAUAGCCCCUUGGCAGGGCAUUUGGACAGGAGCCGGACAGCAUCUCGGCUCAUCCAAAGCUUCUUCUGGGCAGGCAUCUCCCAGGAAAAUCUCCAAGGAUCUGCAGCAGUACUGCCAGACCUGCAAUGUCUUCCAGAGAGUGGGGAAGUGGGGGGACCGGCACAGGGCCCCCCUCUAUCCCCUACCCAUUAUCAAAGAAUUGUUCAGCAAAGUAGCUGUCAAUAUCA